UAUUUCCUCCUCCUCAAACCUCCAUCACACAUCUCUCUCAGACGUACGGUCAGACACUGUUCUUCAAUUUUCAAUCUUCCAGAGCACACGCACACAGAUCUCACAUUUAACCUUCAAUGCUUCGUUUUCUUGUUUCCUUCUAUCAAUCCAUGGAUUCCAAUUCUCUCAUCAAAAUUCGUUUUCCAAACCGCAUUCAAGCUCUAACCGUGCUCGCUUCGCUUUCAUGGAACGAGUUUUUGGUGUUUCUCUUUCGCCUUACAUCGGUGAAGAGUUUUUUUUUCUUCUGAAUCCGUUUGAUUUCUUAAAAACCGCGCGAGAAGUACAGGUUAGAGAUGUUAUUUAAUCUCUGAAGCAAUGGUAACUUUCGGUGGAGACUUGCGUUUGGAUCUCAGUUCCUGAAGGAGCCUUAUAGUGUUGCUGUGGCUGGCUUAGCUGGAGAUUCACGGGCACAUGCAAAUCCUCUCCUAUGCCUAGACCAUUUGUGAGAACAUAAUCUCUGUUUGUUUCGCUAUCAUCUUUUGUUCCAUGGACCUGAGUUAGUAAAACUCUUUUUAAAGUUCAGGAUAAAUAGUAAACAAGGUUGUCCUCAUUUAGAAAGUUGGAUCAUUCAGUUUGAGAAGAUUAUUUUAGUUUGAUCUGCCAUCCAAACCAAUACCUUCUUUUUCAAUUCCAUGUUUUCUUGACAAAUUAGGUUUACCUUCUUAUACAGUUCCACAUUUUCUUGGCGUAUGAGGUUUCCCUGUAGAAAGUAAAAGGAAUAUUUUAACUAACAAAAUACUUAGAUCAUUAACUUCUCUGUUUAAAGACUGACCUUUCGAUUUAGGUCUUGUAUUUCAUCCAUUAGAAGUUGAUCCUGCAUAUGCCAAUAUCAUGUUAACUAUUACAUCUUUAUCUUCAAAAUUGAGCUCACAUUUUUUAUAGAGAAUACAAACCUUUUUCAUACGGACACCGCGAAGGCUAAUUUCUAAUUGGUUCUCCAAAUUUUGUAAUUCUUUGACUGUCAAACCUGACAGUUCCUCCCCCAUGAUUUUUCUGCCACAUCAAACUAGAAGUAAAAUUGUAUGUAUUGAAAAUAUGGAACCUUAAUGGAUAUUUCACUAUAAAGAUUAGAGACAAAUAGGACACUGAAAAUAUAAUCUUGAAAGUACCUUUUUGUGUGUAUUUUAAAUUAUUUGACAAGCCUUAAGAGAUACACAUGUUUAUUCUUCUAUAAUUAUAAGACAAUUUAUCUCAUGAAUAAUACUUGUAACAAGUUGAGAAACCGACACUCUGUGGCUUAUGUAUGAUAUGCGUGCGUUAAUGUAUAUUUUAGAGCAGGAUUGUUCACGGCCAGAAUUUAAUUCUGGCGGUUAUUCCAAACCGGUGAGUAGAGGGGAAAGAUGAGAAAAAUGAAGAAGGGUAUCCUCAAAUCCAAAAAGAGCAUGUCACAGAGGCCAACAUGGUUGAGGCCGUGGAUGCUGGAGACAGUGGUGGGAGCGUCUUCAACGAUGCAGAACAGUGGCGAGGAUGGGUUUGCGGAGGUUAGGCACAUGCAUGAGAACAGUAAACCUUGCCAUUCUCGUAAAUCUUUACUACAGUUUUCCUAUCUGGGAACAAAACAAAGGAACAGUGCUAGAAUGGUAAAAGUUUCUAAACAUGCCUAUAAGACUCAUGCUAGAGCCUAGUUGGUAUUCGUUGAAUAAUAUAGAAUGUGGGUCAUUGAGAUAAUUUUUCUAAAUCGUUGAAGUUACUAAACCUUAACAACUAUCUUACUCUUUAACAUUAUUGUUAUUAUUUGAAUGUGGAAUGCCUUUUAUUACUCUAUGUUG